GGCUUAUCCAGAAUGGAAAGUUUCCUGCUCGAUCAAGCGCGUACAGAAAAGAAACAACGAACAGACCGUGUCAGCGACUAACUCCUACACGCCAAGCCAAAGGGACUAAGUGACACCAUUAAACAGCGGUCACAGAACCCACGCAGUGGCUUAGUGAAAGAUGACAGGAUAGAGGGAAGGCAAGUGAAAGAGUGGGUUCUUCUGCUGAGAUUUACUGUCCAGGCAGAGGUGAAGUGAGGCGUGCAACAGCUUCUAAGCACCAGGACUCUGCAGUAGUAAAGACUGGCUCAUCGGAAGAGUGAGGAAACAGGCAGCAGAAAGAACACCAUAAUUGUGAUGACCAGGAGGCUGAAGUUGCCACAUGGCGCAAAUCCCACUCCAUCAGGAAAGCUUGGGAUCUUCACAUGGCAUCUGCUUUCUUCAGCCGUGUAUACCCUAAAUUGCUCAGGAGCAGUGCUCUCCUCCUGUAGCCCUUAUGAACACUGCAUAAGGGGAGACUGAGUUGCCUGCUGUAAAACCAGAAAAGCAACUGCAGUCAGUAGCAGGAGGGUACACGGGAUUUAUGCGGUUAAGGAGAGGCUGCAGCAGCCUUUAUGCAGAAUUCCCAGCCCUUCUUGGUCCUGCCUGUCCUCUUCAUCAUUCCCCCAGUCUCAGAUGAGAGAAAACCAUCUAUGAAGAGACAGGUGUUAGUCAAGUCACUUAAUGCUCUACAGGAAGGUGAUCAGAUCCUACGGUGAUGAGAGUGGUGUUAUAAUCAAAGCUAAAGUUCUAGUUGAUCUAGUGUCCCCUUUUAGUAAACUAACUUCUGAAGUUAAGCCCUCUCUGGCUCAAUCCAUCCAACAGGGCCCCUCAUGAUACCCCCAAGUUGGGGUCUGGCUACCUGGCAAAGGUUCCUGCUCUGGGAUGGAGCAGCGCCCCAUCCUCCCUGCAGAUUCUUUGCCUUCACUUGAUUCCUCACUGACCCCAGCUUUCCCACUGACCCCAGCUCUUCAGCUGAGACGGUCUCAGUUCAGGCCCCUUCUGGGGGUAAUAGUUCCAGAUACAGCCCUGCCCUGGGCCUGUUUAAACUCCCUAGCCUGUUUAAACUUCCCCGGGGGUGGGGGGGAGCCUGGGCUGGCCCACCCACAACUCCGGGUCCAGACCCAGAGACCUCUAAGUAGCAGCCAUGUGCCACACCCCUUUAACUAACUGUCUUUCUCUGGGCCACUUCCCUGUGGCCCCUGUCUUACUCAAGUCCUGG